GCGAACGCUGGCGGCAGGCUUAACACAUGCAAGUCGAGCGCCCGUAGCAAUACGGGAGCGGCAGACGGGUGAGUAACACGUGGGAACGUACCCUUUGGUUCGGAACAACACAGGGAAACUUGUGCUAAUACCGGAUAAGCCCUUACGGGGAAAGAUUUAUCGCCGAAGGAUCGGCCCGCGUCUGAUUAGCUAGUUGGUGGGGUAAUGGCCCACCAAGGCGACGAUCAGUAGCUGGUCUGAGAGGAUGAUCAGCCACACUGGGACUGAGACACGGCCCAGACUCCUACGGGAGGCAGCAGUGGGGAAUAUUGGACAAUGGGCGCAAGCCUGAUCCAGCCAUGCCGCGUGGGUGAUGAAGGCCCUAGGGUUGUAAAGCCCUUUCGGCGGGGAAGAUAAUGACGGUACCCGCAGAAGAAGCCCCGGCUAACUUCGU
rnacentral:rRNA from 1 species